CCUACGGGUGGCAGCAGUGGGGAAUAUUGGGCAAUGGGCGCAAGCCUGACCCAGCAACGCCGCGUGAAGGAAGAAGGCUUUCGGGUUGUAAACUUCUUUUUAUAGGGAAGAGCAGAAGACGGUACCUGUCGAAUAAGCCACGGCUAACUACGUGCCAGCAGGCUCGGUAAUAAGUAGGUGGCAAGCGUUGACCGGAUUUACUGGGUGUAAAGGGCGUGUAACCGGGCUGACAAGUCAGAUGUGAAAUCCGGGAGCUCAACCGCCGAACUGCAUUUGAAACUGUUGGUCUUGAGUAUCGGAGAGGGAGGCGGAAUUCCAAGUGGAGCGGUGAAAUGCGUAGAUAUUAGGAAGAACACCAGUGGCGAAGGCGGCCUGCUGGACGACAACUGACGGUGAGGCGCGAAAGCGUGGGGAGCAAACAGGAUUAGAUACCCUAGUAGUC
rnacentral:rRNA from 1 species